AGGAAGGAAGGAAGGAAGGAAGGAAGGAAGGCAGGCAGGCAGGCAGGCGAGGGGAUGCUAGGUCAAUUCAAACAUGGACUCGUGAGAAUAAGGACUGACGUAAAGGAAAAUAAACCGAUCUUACGAAAAGGACCGAGCGAAGCAUUAAUAAGAGUUUUCACCAAUCCAGAGACAAACCAAAACCCUCCCGUUUGAAUUACAACAGAUCAGAAAGAGCAGAGAAACUCCGACCUACUUCUGUGAUUCUAAUCACAGUACCUCCGACAAUAAAACAGCCUUCUUGGGGAUCUCGGUGAGAUCUGUUCCUUCAUCUGGCCUACCUCGAAGGGCUGGCAUUUUGUCCCCAUCGCAGUGAUCCUCCCGGUGACUCUGGUAACUUCCCCAGCGCGACUGAUUCCUUCCCCCCCCCAGCUGUUCCCUCCUCCUACGGAAGGGCUAAGAUCUUGCAACCCUCCAGAUGUGGCUGAGUUACAACUCAGGGAAGUGGGAGCCGUCCUUCAAGCAACACAGAGAGAACCUCCUGCCAGGAAUUUGCCACCGACUAUUUUUUUCCACCUGGGAAACAACCGAGGCCCCCAUGAGCUUUUCGGGAAAACGCAAAUCACUUUGAGAAGGCCAGGCUAAAUGAAAUGCCAGCCGAGGAGAUUCGCAUUCGAGGCAACGGCAAGCUCAUUGGUGAUGCCUCCCGGGAACCAGGAGGGGCGAAACCCGGGUUCCAGCCGGCAGCGUGGCAGGAAGACAGGAUAGCAGUCGUCCAAUAUUUGAGGGGCUGCCCUAAAGAAGAGGGAGGGUCAAGCUAUUCUCCAAAGCGCCCGAGGGCAGGACGAGAAGCCAAGACGGAUGGAAACUAAUCGAAGGAGAGAAGCCACCUGGAAUUAAGGAGAGAUUUCCCGACGGUGAGAAUAAUUAACCAGCGGAACGACUUGCCACCAGG